AGAUGGAUUGGUGGCCUUCCGGAACGUCUGACACAGGUGCUGCAUGGCUGUCGUCAGCUGGUGUCGUGAGAUGUUGGGUUAAGUCCCGUAACGAGCGCAACCCUUGUCCUUAGUUACCAGCACGUUAUGGUGGGCACUCUAAGGAGACUGCCGGUGACAAACCGGAGGAAGGUGGGGAUGACGUCAAGUCAUCAUGGCCCUUACGGCCUGGGCUACACACGUGCUACAAUGGUCGGUACAAAGGGUUGCCAAGCCGCGAGGUGGAGCUAAUCCCAUAAAACCGAUCGUAGUCCGGAUCGCAGUCUGCAACUCGACUGCGUGAAGUCGGAAUCGCUAGUAAUCGUGAAUCAGAAUGUCACGGUGAAUACGUUCCCGGGCCUU
rnacentral:rRNA from 1 species